rnacentral:rRNA from 1 species
UUGAACGCUGGCGGCAGGCCUAACACAUGCAAGUCGAACGGUAACAGGAAGAAGCUUGCUUCUUUGCUGACGCGUGGCGGACGGGUGAGUAAUGUCUGGGAAACUGCCUGAUGGAGGGGGAUAACUACUGGAAACGGUAGCUAAUACCGCAUAACGUCGCAAGACCAAAGAGGGGGACCUUCGGGCCUCUUGCCAUCGGAUGUGCCCAGAUGGGAUUAGCUAGUAGGUGGGGUAACGGCUCACCUAGGCGACGAUCCCUAGCUGGUCUGAGAGGAUGACCAGCCACACUGGAACUGAGACACGGUCCAGACUCCUACGGGAGGCAGCAGUGGGGAAUAUUGCACAAUGGGCGCAAGCCUGAUGCAGCCAUGCCGCGUGUAUGAAGAAGGCCUUCGGGUUGUAAAGUACUUUCAGCGGGGAGGAAGGGAGUAAAGUUAAUACCUUUGCUGAUUGACGUUACCCGCAGAAGAAGCACCGGCUAACUCCGUG